rnacentral:rRNA from 1 species
GGACCCGCACAAGUAGUGGAGCAUGUGGUUUAAUUCGAAGAUACGCGCAGAACCUUACCAACACUUGACAUGUUCGUCGCGACUCUAAGAGAUUAGAGUUUUCGGUUCGGCCGGACGAAACACAGGUGCUGCAUGGCUGUCGUCAGCUCGUGUCGUGAGAUGUUGGGUUAAGUCCCGCAACGAGCGCAACCCACGUCUUUAGUUGCCAUCAUUUAGUUGGGCACUCUGAAAGAACUGCCAGUGAUAAGCUGGAGGAAGGUGGGGAUGACGUCAAGUCCUCAUGGCCCUUACGUGUUGGGCUACACACGUGCUACAAUGGUAUCUACAACAGGAAGCAAAAACCGCGAGGUUAAGCAAAUCCUCAAAAGAUACCUCAGUUCGGAUUGCACUCUGCAACUCGAGUGCAUGAAGCUGGAAUUACUAGUAAUCG